GCGCCUGUAGUAUAGUGGUUAUUAUUCUCGCCUUCCAAGCGAGAGACUGGGGUUCGAUUCCCCACGGGCGCA